AACUGUGGUAAAGAGCACUGUGGGGAACGAACCCCCCACCUAAGUUCUACACUAAAUUUACAUGUAUGGUAUGUGUGACCUAUUUCAAGUGGCUAAUGUCACCAUGAGUGCCAAAUGCCACCAGACAUCUGUGAGACACCAUUUUCUUCAUCAUUGAUCUUUGUUCUAGCAGUUUCUGCACUGGACCUUGCUUUAAUAUGUUAGUAUGGAUAGGAGGCAUUUGUUCCUGUAGUUCCUGCUACGUCUUACUACAUGAAACAGCAGAACUAACCUACUCCUUGGGAAGUCUUCACGGCCUUCUAAUUGUGCAGCAAUGCUGCAACCUCUGCAAUAGCACUGGUCCAAGUAUGCCCUGUAAUCAGCAGUCAGUGUGAUAGCCCAUCCCUUCCAGAAUGCAGAGCAUUAUACCAGGAGACGUGGAAACCACACACCAGUAGUUGUAAUCAGCGGCACAGCCACGUAGCAUGGGAUUGAGGCAUGGCCAAGCUUCUCUGUUGAGUUAGUGUGUUUAGUUGUUGGAUGAAUGUGAGAAGCAUUUGUUCACUUUCAAGUCCAUCUCAGUUCACUGGUCCCCUCACCUCCAUUGGAAAGAACCCAUUUCAACAAGGUGUCUACAUACAGCACCUGAUUGAAGACAAAAACACCAAGGAGAUGAAAAGGGGCCAAGCAGUGUAGGUAAUGCGUAGCAGCGGCAGUUACAGACAGGAACUUUUCUGUACCGCUGUGAACACGUUUUUGAGGGCAGAGGUGUGGACAGGCAUUACAGAAAGAACUCGUGAGGUAAUUAGUGCUGUACCAUCUGCAGGGACUAUUCUGCAGGCAAGCGCUAGAAAGGAAGCAAACUUCAGGGACCCAAUGCAAAAGGGAGAAAAGGAGAAGACCAGGAGGGGCAGGGAGCACGGAACAAGCACGACAGGAAAGGGAUGCAAAAAUCGCUAGAGAACUUCAACAAGCCUUCCAGUUGAGACUUGAAAGUGAAAACUUCCUGCUUACCAAAAAUGUGGCGUACAAUGUUAUGCAGUUGCCUGAAAAAAAGCACAAAGAAACCCUUGGCUUAAGCUGAAGUUGCCCUUUACUAGAGUUCAUCUCAAGCACAAACAGCAAAGCAGCCACAAGAUAAGUAUAAGCUUCAGCCAUCACUUCCCCUCCCAUGUACACCAAUGGCAUUCAGGACUAAACCGUACCAUACCCAUUCUUUGCUGUUGGUUCCUGAUUUUUACUAUGAUUCUAUGAUUCAUGGCUUGUCUUGGUACCUUAGGUGGUGCAGUCUUUUUUGGAAUAAGCAAGAAGAUCAGUGACAAAAAAUAAUCUGUCUUUAGGGAAAGAUUAUUCAGUACUUUUUCAGCAAAUAUCAGUUCAGUGCUUGUCGUACGUAGCAUAAAACAUGCUGUAGAAUUUGAGGCCAGUUGUCAAAAGAGGAAAUGCACCUGUUCCAUGGUAAUUUGUUCCUCCAGAGAGCAGUUACUGCUUUGCAGUGCCUGGUGCUGUGUAGUAGUAGUGUGCCAAUAAAUCACUGGUUUGGACAUAAAAGGAAAGCAGAGACUUUGGGUUGAAGAGGUCUACAGGGCGCUGUUUAGCACAGGAUUCAUUUGUGGAUUGCCUGAAGGUGUGCAGUGUGUAGCCCCCGGAAUGUCUUCCACUUGCUUUAGAAAUGCUGUUGACGGAUAAGCAAUUGUGGAAAAAAUGGGUUUCUUCCUUUGCACCUAGCCCUUCCGUUGUUAUAUUCCCUUGGAAAUUUUAAAGUCUCUGUCUAGAUUGCAGUCUCUCAUGUUGCCUGUCAUGUUCUUGCCGUGCCUUAUUUUGCCCUGUCUGCUGUAAAAGUAACACCAGGAAUCUUGUCAGUUUUCCCCCCAGCCACUGCUAAACCUACAAGUGGAUCUGCUGGAUCUUCAAAAAAUCUUCAUGUGGACCAGGGACGCGGUCCCUGUGGGAAUAACAGCUUUCAUAUGCAGCAAUGUCCUCACUCCCGACAGACCAGGAUCCCCUUUCCAGAGUAAUGGAGGAGCACCGUGAUUCUUUAAUCAAAAAUUACCGGAUUUGGAUGAAAUGCUAUAGAGAGGCUCUGGAAAUCAUUCAGUGUUCACAGUGAGUCUAUGGUUUCCCAUCCCCCGCUUCAGAUGUGAAAACAUGUUCCUUGCAGUGGGAAUGUAAACUCAUAAACUCUAUGAAAUGGAUGUCAAGCACAUUGCACUUACCUGUUGGUUUACUGAUGCAUAGCUGGUGUCUUGGUUUCUUAUGCACUCACAAUAAGAACCACAUCCAUUUUUUCUGCCUAGCAGAUUGACUGCUUUUGAUUCUUGAGCAUGAAAGAGCUCAAGUCCUCGCAGCCAUCAUUGUGAUUCAGCGAGAAAACAGAAGAAAGAAGUAGAGAUCUCAAAAGUCAAUUGGACAGGAUAAAAAACACCCAACAAGACAGACCUCUUCAAAAAGAAUCCACCCAGGCAGAAGUGGAAAAGUACAAAGAGCUCUACCUGGUGGAAGCAAAAACCAGAAAAAGCCUAGCCAAGAAACUGGAAAGAGCUGAUGAGAGACUUGCAGAGGCCAACACCAAGCUCCUUUUGGAGAGCCAUAGAAGCAAAUCUGCAGUCACAAGCAGCGCUGUCAGCGGACAUCUGGCUGCAAGUCCACUUCUGCAUUCAGCUGGCCUGGAAUAUCUUGGCAACAGUUUGGGACUGAACAGAAGUCUGGGUCUCAGAACACCGCCCAGACAUCUGUGGUAAAGUCGAAGACUUUAGGUCAUCU